AGACCCGAAACCCGGUGAUCUAGCCAUGGGCAGGUUGAAGGUUGGGUAACACUAACUGGAGGACCGAACCGACUAAUGUUGAAAAAUUAGCGGAUGACCUGUGGCUGGGGGUGAAAGGCCAAUCAAACCGGGAGAUAGCUGGUUCUCCCCGAAAGCUAUUUAGGUAGCGCCUCGUGAAUUCAUCUCCGGGGGUAGAGCACUGUUUCGGCUAGGGGGCCAUCCCGGCUUACCAACCCGAUGCAAACUGCGAAUACCGGAGAAUGUUAUCACGGGAGACACACGGCGGGUGCUAACGUCCGUCGUGAAGAGGGAAACAACCCAGACCGCCAGCUAAGGUCCCAAAGUCAUGGUUAAGUGGGAAACGAUGUGGGAAGGCCCAGACAGCCAGGAUGUUGGCUUAGAAGCAGCCAUCAUUUAAAGAAAGCGUAAUAGCUCACUGGUCGAGUCGGCCUGCGCGGAAGAUGUAACGGGGCUAAACCAUGCACCGAAGCUGCGGCAGCGACGUUUAUGCGUUGUUGGGUAGGGGAGCGUUCUGUAAGCCUGCGAAGGUGGCCUGUGAGGGUUGCUGGAGGUAUCAGAAGUGCGAAUGCUGACAUAAGUAACGAUAAAGCGGGUGAAAAGCCCGCUCGCCGGAAGACCAAGGGUUCCUGUCCAACGUUAAUCGGGGCAGGGUGAGUCGACCCCUAAGGCGAGGCCGAAAGGCGUAGUCGAUGGGAAACGGGUUAAUAUUCCCGUACUUGGUGUU
rnacentral:rRNA from 1 species